UACGUAGGGUGCGAGCGUUAUUCGGAAUUACUGGGCGUAAAGCGUGCGCAGGCGGUUCGUUGUGUCGGCGGUGAAAGCCCCGGGCUUAACCUGGGAAUGGCCGUUGAAACUGGCGAACUGGAGUGUGGCAGAGGGGGGUGGAAUUCCGCGUGUAGCAGUGAAAUGCGUAGAGAUGCGGAGGAACACCGAUGGCGAAGGCAGCCCCCUGGGCUGACACUGACGCUCAUGCACGAAAGCGUGGGGAGCAAACAGG
rnacentral:rRNA from 1 species